rnacentral:rRNA from 1 species
GGCAUGCCUAACACAUGCAAGUCGAACGAACUCUUCGGAGUUAGUGGCGCACGGGUGCGUAACGCGUGGGAAUCUGCCCUUGGGUACGGAAUAACUCAGAGAAAUUUGUGCUAAUACCGUAUAAUGUCUUCGGACCAAAGAUUUAUCGCCCAAGGAUGAGCCCGCGUAAGAUUAGCUAGUUGGUGGGGUAAAAGCCUACCAAGGCGACGAUCUUUAGCUGGUCUGAGAGGAUGAUCAGCCACACUGGGACUGAGACACGGCCCAGACUCCUACGGGAGGCAGCAGUGGGGAAUAUUGGACAAUGGGCGAAAGCCUGAUCCAGCAAUGCCGCGUGAGUGAUGAAGGCCUUAGGGUUGUAAAGCUCUUUUACCCGGGAUGAUAAUGACAGUACCGGGAGAAUAAGCUCCGGCUAACUCCGUGCCAGCAGCCGCGGUAAUACGGAGGGAGCUAGCGUUGUUCGGAAUUACUGGGCGUAAAGCGCGCGUAGGCGGUCUUUUAAGUCAGAGUGAAAGCCCGGGGCUCAACCCCGGAAUAGCCUUUGAAACUGGAAGACUUGAAUCUUGGAGAGGUCAGUGAAAUUCCGAGUGUAGAGGUGAAAUUCGUAGAUAUUCGGAAGAAC